rnacentral:rRNA from 1 species
GUGAGGAAUAUUGGACAAUGGGCGCAAGCCUGAUCCAGCCAUGCCGCGUGCAGGAAGACGCAUCUAUGGUGUGUAAACUGCUUUUGUACGGGAAGAAACACUCCCUCGUGAGGGAGCUUGACGGUACCGUAAGAAUAAGGAUCGGCUAACUCCGUGCCAGCAGCCGCGGUAAUACGGAGGAUCCAAGCGUUAUCCGGAAUCAUUGGGUUUAAAGGGUCCGUAGGCGGUUUAAUAAGUCAGUGGUGAAAGCCCAUCGCUCAACGAUGGAACGGCCAUUGAUACUGUUAGACUUGAAUUACAAGGAAGUAACUAGAAUAUGUAGUGUAGCGGUGAAAUGCUUAGAUAUUACAUGGAAUACCAAUUGCGAAGGCAGGUUACUACUUGUGGAUUGACGCUGAUGGACGAAAACGUGGGGAGCGAACAGGAUUAGAAACCCUAGUAGUCC